UUACAAACUGUUAGAAAAGUUAGCUUGAAAAUUGGUUAGAAUCUGUUAGCGGAUGUUAAUGAGUUUGGAACUGAUAGUGACUUUUUCUGGUUCUUCCUGUUGGUUUUGUAACGUGCAGGUAUCGGUUUUCUAUUUGGGGUUUAGAUGCAAAUGGCUUUGAGGACCGGUUCGGUUUAUAUAGGUGGUAUUGUUCAUAGCUUGAAGAAGAAAGAAUAGCAAGACAUAAAGGGCAAGGGCAGGUUGUUUAUUUGUCAACUGAACUAGUUCCCGUUUGCUGCAGCGUGAAUGAAUGGAGGUCGAGCUGAAUGAAUGGUGUAUGUAGAAUCCUGCUAAAUACUUUUGGAGUGCUUGAACUCAUCUUUGCUUUUUCUGGCAUGAGCAAGUGUUUGAAAUUGGAAGCAAAAGAGUGUAUUGAAGGCAAAGUAGGAGCAAGGCACAAAAAUGAUGGAAGAUGACGAUACUGCGGAUUCGGGAGUAAAAGGCUUUACGGCAUUUGUUGGCUUUGAUGAAUAUAUAAAUUUUUGUAUUUCCUUUUAGAUGUAAUUGGUAUAAUGGCAAUGUAAUAUGGAUUUUAGAUGUGAGGUCUUGAAGCAUGGCUUGAAACAUGUGAUGAAAGUUUGAAUUUAGUUAUAUGGAAUAUGAGCAGUACCCUUGUAAUGAGCGAAGCUUUUUCUUCAUGAAAGUGGACUUCAUUUUCUUUC